UGCUGAAUUAUUCGCCAAUGCGCGAAAGCGUGACGGUGCGACGCCGCGUGCGGGACGAAGGCCUUCGGGUUGUAAACCGCUGUCAGGGUGUAGAAAACCAUAUUCGUUAAUAGCGGAUGUGUUGAUCCCACCCAAAGGAAGCACAGGCUAACCUCGUGCCAGCAGCCGCGGUAAUACGAGGUGUGCAAGCGUUGUUCGGAAUCACUGGGCAUAAAGGGUGCGUAGGCGGUCCUCCAAGUCGGUUGUGAAAUCCCUCGGCUUAACCGGGGAAUUGUGGUCGAUACUAGGGGACUAGAGGGUAAAAGGGGCAAGCGGAAUUCUAGGUGUAGCGGUGGAAUGCGUAGAUAUCUGGGAGAACGCCGAGGGCGAAGGCAGCUUGCUGGGUUACUUCUGACGCUGAGGCACGAAAGCUAGGGGAGCAAACA
rnacentral:rRNA from 1 species